UUGGCUUAAAUAAUAAGAAUUGAUAUUUUUAUUAUUUAUGUCUUGCAUAUAUGAGAAAAGAAAAGAUUAAAAUAUUCAAAAGAUACUAAUAGUUACUAAAUAUGAGCUAUUUUUGAUAAAAAAAAUAUAUUAAAAAUAUCUUUAAAGAUAUUUAAUUAGAAAUUAUUUUUUGGUGUCACCCGAAUCAAUCAAUGUGGCGAGAAUAUGGACGAGAUCAAUGGGUCCUGAGGACGACAAAGGCUUGUUCCGUUUGAACUCGCAUUCCUAGUGAGAUGUAGGAAAAAGGAAAUGAACGCGAAAGUAGAAAAAAUGUAAAAUUUACCGGCAACAUGGUCAUAACAGACACAAUUGUCCUAACAUAUCUCCAUCUUAAAUUUUUCCUUAGCUAUGUGUAAUUGUUUAAGUAUUUUAUUGAUAAUGCAAUAUAAUGUUCUUCAAUAAAUAAGUUGUUAAACAAAAAGUCUUCUCA
rnacentral:lncRNA from 1 species